rnacentral:rRNA from 1 species
CCCGCUGAACUUAAGCAUAUCACUAAGCGGAGGAAAAGAAACUAACUAGAAUGUCCUUAGUAACGGCGAGUGAAGCGGACAUUGCUCAAAUUUUAAAUCGGGAGAUCUUUCGAGACCUCUUGAAUUGUAGUUUUUCGAUCGGUCAUCACGGGGGCAGUAUUUAGAGUUUUGGGUAUAAGUUCUUUGGAAUGAGACAUCAUAGAGGGUGAGAAUCCCGUCCAUGACCCAAAUAUUGUUUCAAUACGUGUUGACCUUUUGACGAGUCGGGUUGUUUGGGAUUGCAGCCUAAAUAAGGUGGUAGAUCUCAUCUAAAGCUAAAUAUCUUGGGGAGACCGAUAGCGAAGAAGUACAGUGAUGGAAAGGUGAAAAGAACUUUGAAAAGAAGGUCAAAAGUGCUUGAAACUGUUAAAAGGGAAACGGAUGGAGCCAGCCAUUACCCAAUGGGCAUACAGACCAUCCACUUUUGUAGCACUUCAUGGUUGUUUAGCAGGAGUACUGAGUGCCCUGUUGGAUGGCUUUUGGGGUGUUAUAGGAGGUAUCUGAUCUGUAUGUUUGUCAGCAUCAAGUAUGAGAAGGGGAUACUGCAUGGGGGAAGGUAGACUGGAUACGUCUGGUUGUUUAGACCCUGUGAACGACGUCCUUUCUUGUGCUUGAGGAAGAAAACAUGGGCCACUAGGCAGGGUAAACCAUUGGACCCUAAGCUGAGGGGGAUUACAUCUGUUCUGUUGCUUUAACCGGCAGCAGUUAGCAGUGUGGUUCUCUAUUUGGUUUAGGUAAGCUGGUGGUCACCACUACAACCAUGUUAGGGAUGUUGACAGAAUGACUUCAUCCGCCCCGUCUUGAAACACGG